GAUCAUGGCUCAGGAUGAACGCUAGCUACAGGCUUAACACAUGCAAGUCGAGGGGCAGCAUGACCUAGCAAUAGGUUGAUGGCGACCGGCGCACGGGUGAGUAACACGUAUCCAACCUACCGGUUAUUCCGGGAUAGCCUUUCGAAAGAAAGAUUAAUACCGGAUAGUAUAACGAGAAGGCAUCUUUUUGUAUUAAAGAAUUUCGAUAACCGAUGGGGAUGCGUUCCAUUAGUUGUUGGCGGGUAACGCCCACAAG
rnacentral:rRNA from 1 species